rnacentral:SRP_RNA from 1 species
ACCAGGCGUGGUGGCGCGUGCCUGUAGUCCCAGCUACUCAGGGAGCUGAGGUGGGAGGAUCGCUUGAACCCAGCAGUUCUGGGCUGUAGUGCGUUAUGCUGAUCUGGUGUCCACACUAAGUGCGGCAUCAAUAAGGUGUGACCUCCCGGGAGCGGGGGACCACAAUGUUGCCUAAGGAGGCGUGACCCGGCCCAGGUCGGAAAUGGAGCAGGUCAAAACUCCCGUGCUGAUCAGUAGUGGGAUCGUGCCUGUGAGUACCCACUGCAUGCCAGCCUGGGCAACAUAGUGANNNNN